UCAGGUCAAUUAAUGGAUCUUGGCUACGGCAUCUUGUGAUGCAACUAUUAAGUAUUUUACUUGUGAAAACUAUCAAGAAGCUUGCAUGCUUCCGACAACUUUUGCAGCUGUAGGGGCGAUGUCUUUCAGGUUGUGUGGAAUCCAAAUUUGGAGACUGUUGGCCUUCCAUGCUGCGGGCAAAAGGGUGAUGAGAUGGGACGUUAGUAGGUCUAUAACUCUAUAUCCACAAUGGGUACCAAUCUUUUUGUCAACGUUUUGGUUUCCUGCCCUAUAAAGUGAUAUGCAUGUUCGUUAGGCAUGAAGUAGAUGCUCAAGAUAUUUAGAACAUCUUUGGUAAUGUGCAAUGUGUCCAUUCCAGGUUAUAGAUUUUUCUUUCAAACUUCUUUCCUUCAGAUGUACUUCCUUUUCUCCAACCGUUUUUGAUCAUUGCAAACUACUACAGGAGGUACUGCAGAUAUCUAUCCAUGGAGCUCGAUGAACUGUGGUACUUAGUUAACAGCGACACCGAUCAGUUAGGUUAUAAAAUCUGUAGUUAUUGGAGCCAUUCAUAUGCGUUUAUCAGCGCAGGAAGGAAGAAGGUUUUCUUGUGUUACUUUAUGACUUUUCCCUUUGACCAUCGAAUGGUACCUAUAUUGUAUA